rnacentral:rRNA from 1 species
CCUACGGGAGGCAGCAGUAGGGAAUAUUGCUCAAUGGGCGAAAGCCUGAAGCAGCAACGCCGCGUGGGGGAUGAAGGUUUUCGGAUUGUAAACUCCUUUUGUUAGGGAAGAUAAUGACGGUGUUUAACAAAUAAGCACCUGCUAACACCGUGCCAGCAGCCGCGGUCAUACGGAGGGUGCGAGCGUUACUCGGAAUCACUGGGCGUAAAGAGCGCGGAGGCGGGAUAGCAAGUCAGAUGUGAAAUCCUAGGGCUUAACCAUAGAACGGCAUUUGAAACUGGUAUUCUAGAGUAUGGGAGAGGUAGGUGGAAUUCUUGGUGUAGCGGUAAAAUGCGUAGAGAUCAAGAGGAAUACUGAUGGCGAAGGCGACCUGCUAGAACAUAACUGACGCUGAGGCGCGAAAGCGUGGGGAGCAAACAGGAUUAGAUACCCUAGUAGUC